AGUUGGUUAGGUAAUGGCUUACCAAGCCGUUGAUCGGUACGGGUUGUGAGAGCAAGAGCCCGGAGAUGGAACCUGAGACAAGGUUCCAGGCCCUACGGGGUGCAGCAGGCGCGAAACCUCCGCAAUGUGAGAAAUCGCGACGGGGGGAUCCCAAGUGCCAUUCUUAACGGGAUGGCUUUUCAUUAGUGUAAAGAGCUUUUGGAAUAAGGGCUGGGCAAGACCGGUGCCAGCCGCCGCGGUAACACCGGCAGCUCUAGUGGUAGCAGUUUUUAUUGGGCCUAAAGCGUCCGUAGCCGGUUUAAUAAGUCUCUGGUGAAAUCCUGUAGCUUAACUGUGGGAAUUGCUGGAGAUACUAUUAGACUUGAGACCGGGAGAGGUUAGAGGUACUCCCAGGGUAGAGGUGAAAUUCUGUAAUCCUGGGAGGACCGCCUGUUGCGAAGGCGUCUAACUGGAACGGUUCUGACGGUGAGGGACGAAAGUUAGGGGCGCGAACCGGAUUAGAUACCCGGGUAGUCCUAACCGUAAACGAUGCGGACUUGGUGUUGGGGUGGCUUUGAGCUGCUCCAGUGCCGAAGGGAAGCUGUUAAGUCCGCCGCCUGGGAAGUACGGUCGCAAGACUGAAACUUAA
rnacentral:rRNA from 1 species